CCUACGGGAGGCAGCAGUGGGGAAUAUUGGGCAAUGGGCGCAAGCCUGACCCAGCAACGCCGCGUGAAGGAAGAAGGCUUUCGGGUUGUAAACUUCUUUUCUUAAGGACGAAAAAAGUGACGGUACUCGAUGAAUAAGCCACGGCUAACUACGUGCCAGCAGCCGCGGUAAUACGUAGGUGGCAAGCGUUAUCCGGAUUUACUGGGUGUAAAGGGCGUGUAGGCGGGACUGCAAGUCAGAUGUGAAAACCAUGGGCUCAACCCAUGGCCUGCAUUUGAAACUGUAGUUCUUGAGUGCUGGAGAGGCAGGCGGAAUGCCGAGUGUAGCGGUGAAAUGCGUAGAUAUUAGGAGGAACACCAGUGGCGAAGGCGGUCUGCUGGACAGCAACUGACGCUGAGGCGCGAAAGCGUGGGGAGCAAACAGGAUUAGAUACCCUUGUAGUC
rnacentral:rRNA from 1 species